CUUGCUCAUCUGAAGCAGCUUCAGAGGAUUUUGAGUUGCCUUCCUUUAUUUAUAAGAACUUUACAUUGUUCCCUAAACAACUUGGAAGGCAUCGUAGAGGCUCUUUUAGGCUAUUGAAAAAACAUACCACAGUCCUUUUAUGUGAAAGAAUGGCAGCAGCACUUACAGAUCACUGUGAAAAACUUACAGAAAAAGCUAAAAAAAAUGGAAACUAAGGUUAGCAUACUUCAAAAGGAACUAUCUGGAACAAAAGGAAUAAAAUCAGAGUUAGAGCGACAAAAAUUUGAAUGGGAACGAGAUCUCUGCAGUUUGAAAUUCACCUUAAAACAAGAGGAAGAGAAGAGGAGAAAUGAUAAUAUAGUGUCUGAAGAAACUAGAGAAAAGUUAAGAAGUAAAAAAGAGCAACAUAGGAAAGAAGUUGAAGUAAAACAACUUGAACAGACUGUGAGAACACAAGAUGUGGAAUUGAUGGCCCUAAGAAAGAAAUUGAACGGGAUAAAUCAAUCUUUGAUUUCUGCUAGUUGUGACAAAGAAACAGAUCUGUUGCAUAAG